AAUGGAUCAGCAACUAUUAAUUCAGCAAUCUGAGCAGGUCUGAUUUAAGUAAACCAGAAACAAUUUCGGUGAGUAGCAUGAGGAUGCCGGAUAGUGUUUUCAGACUGGUGUAGACAAUGAUUAAAACUCGGCAUCGGCUGGUCGUUUUGGUUUGACAAAAUGUUCCGAGGACAAGGGAGAACAGAGGCAAAAGUAGCCCCUAGAAUGAAUGAGACGCACCAAACCAAGAAAAACUGUUGUCCCUGGACAGGAGAUAGAGCCUAAAUGUUGAUGGAGCAAUGAAGAGGAGCUACAGACGAUAGAACCAAGAUCUCUAGAAAAAUGGAUUCUCAAACGAGCUAAAGAGGACAGGGCUCGACUUCGUUUUCUCAAAAAUCUGGACCAGCUUCAUCCAAAUGAGAGAAGAUAGUCUCAACUCCACUUUACAAGGCCAAUGCUACGAUUUGACAAACUCUGGCCCGCGACAUGGAAACAGAGCAUAAGAGGAGAGUAAGGCUAAGGCGGCACUCUCGGUGAAC
rnacentral:lncRNA from 1 species